rnacentral:lncRNA from 1 species
GGGGGGGGGGGGGGGGGGGGGGGGGGGGGGGGGGGGGGGGGGGGGGGGGGGGGGGGGGGGGGGGGGGGGGGGGGGGGGGGGGGGGGGGGGGGGGGGGGGGGGGGGGGGGGAGGGAGGAGCGGGAGGGAGGGACCGGAACCGCCGCUGCUCCCAGGCUCGUUCUGGCUCUGCUCCGGGUCCCGGGUUUCCUUUUAUCUCCCUUUCUCUCACUCUCGGAGCUGAUAGGAGCCUGCGCUCCGGCUGCGGAGGCGUUCAGUGCCCUCUGCCCGCGUCGGCCCCAGGGCUGUGAGGGUGCGGUGCCCGGAGAUGGCACACGGCCAUAACGGCUUAGAGAGGGGGAAAAAAAGCGGGAUUAAAACUUUCCUCCUCCGAGAAGAGAAGCAGGAGUGCAAAACGUUGGGAUAAUUAAAUGCUACUAAUCCACGGCACUUGUGUUGGAGAGGUUCUAGAAUGGUGCAGUAGAUGGCAGUGGCCUUGUCGUCCUUUUUCUGCAGAGAAGACUGGAGACUCAACUUCAGACAUCCAGAGCAGAAAGCUAUACCGUACUGAUAAUAAGACACCUCAACUGUUUGGGUUUAUUUCUGCACAAAGAUUCCUAUGGAUCAAUUAACAUUCUACACUGCCAAUAAGGGUAAUUUUGUAGCAAGAUGACUUUGCCAGUUUCAAGCUCUAUUUACAUGCACAUCAAAAAAUGACAGUACAGUUGCUCUAGGUUAAUUUGUCCUCUAAAAAUUAAUUUACUUGCCUCUCAUUUAAUCAGGAGGCAGAGUCAAAAAGGGAUAACUCUAACCACACAUAUAUUGUAUGAUGUCUGGUGUAUCACACAUAAUAAACUGACAGUACUGCAGAACACUAAAUUUCAUU